rnacentral:ncRNA from 1 species
CUUUGACGUAGAGGCGCGAUAGGAAUUAGUAACUUUUGCUGGGGUGAUACCAAUGAGCAGAAGUGAAAGGUUUUGUCGCCGAAGUGAGUGUGUAUAUUAAAACUACUCGCUGGGGUUGUAUUCGAAUAGGAACAACACUGCCAUAGUCUAUUAUUUUGUUAAACUAUGGAGCGCUACUGUAGGG